rnacentral:lncRNA from 1 species
GAUGAAGAAAAUAUGAGAAAGAUAUGGUACAUAAUUUUUUUUGUGCAGGGAUUCCUUGAGACUUGUAAUUUAUUUUAAGGGCUACACAAGGGUAAAAAGGUUGAGAAACACUGCUCUAGAGAAAGGCGUGGACAUCAUAUAAGCUCAGUUCUACUCUUCUGCAAAUCUUAGAUUUAAACUUUGGCUGAAUUAAAUAUACCAGAUUGCUGCCAAAGAAUAUGCUGAUUUUAUCAAAAGUUUAUUGGUUGACUUCACUUACCUUUAGUUUUCCAAUAAAAUUAUGGGAAAGAAAAGCUAAAAAGUCUGUGUAAAGUUAGUGGAUUAAGGCUGUAAUGAAUUAUAUUAUUUCUCUGCAAUAUUUACAGUUAGCUAAAUUGAUAUGAUGUCACAGUAAUGAUCAGAGUGUUAGUGGUCUGAAUCUCAUCACUCGUAGUGCAUUAUGUGCAUAAUCAAGGCAUUUAAAUAUCUCCAGCCCAAUCUACACAGGUAGCUGUAUAAGUUUAUCAUAUAACUGCAAAGAUCAGAAACAGAGUAUAAGUGGAUAUCUAAAAUCCUUGCUGUGCUAAGUUCAUAUUUAAGUGAUAAAUUAUUCACACAGUUGUCUUGUUUUAAAUAAGUCUAUCACCACAACAGCUUAGUAGACUCAAUAUAAAUGGAGUCUCUUAAAAUUGGAGAAUUGAGAUAAAAUGCUAUGAUUAGGGACACAUUUGGACAUUAAUGAUUCGGCACAGCUGACUGGAUGCUUCAACAGCAGUAAUAUUCCAUGCUAGAGGCAAACACACACACAUGCAUACAUGAUCAUGCAGAAAUAUACACAUACAGAUAGAAAGAGGGAAAGAGAGAGAGAAGAAGAAGAUGACAGUUCAUUAAUUGAACAUGACUUGACAUAUACGCUUUCUCUCUCCUCAUUCAAAUAAAGAGAGAUAAGCUCACCCACAUAAGCAGGGGAAAGAACAUUAGGAGUAUUAAAACAUCUGAUGUCAAAUAAGUCAGCAUUGAAUCAGCAACACCAACUGGGUAGUACCAAAACAGCUGUGUCAGAAUGCCUUCUACCUGAGUUGAGUGUGGGUAACUCACAUGGUCACAUGAUUGAUCAGAUCAUUGGAUGUUGUUAUACAUUGCUGGCCACAAUGUGCUUCACACUGUUUUAGCCACCCAGCUGGUUUGGUUAGCAGGCCAACAUUCCCCUGAUCGGAAAGCUAGUCCAUUACAGAGUUCCUCAUAUACAGCAGAAUGGACUGGAACAAUAUAGAAUGAAAUGUUUUAUUCAAGAACACAACAUGCCACUCAGUCCAGGAACUGAACUCUCCAUCUAGCAAUCACGAAUGCUAUACCCUAACCAUUAGGCUACACACAUUUACUGAGAGUGGGUGAUUAAGUGGUAAUAUCUAAGUUUUUUUUAAAUUAUUUUUUAUAAUUCUUCCUUCAAGAUUUAUCAGAAAAUAUUUUUUUUCACUUUUCCUUCUACAGAAGAGAAUGUAGAAAAUGUCUGUAAUAUACUGGAGAAAAUAGUCUAACUGUAGAGUAACAGAAGAGUAAAGAUCAGUGAAAGUGUUCACAUCUACUGGCUGUGUUGCUAAAAAGAACAAAUCAUUUAUUUUUCAUAAAAUUCUCAAGACAUAUUUUCCUUGUUGUAGCCUUCUAUGAAGUCUUAACCUGGAAACCAGAAACCCUAUUCAGUUAGACUAGUGGUUCCCAAAUUCCUUCAAGCAAUUUAUUUUUGCUCCAUGUAUUUUAUCACAAAUUUAUCCCUACCCUGCCCUAUUAACAUUAUACAGAGCAACAGUUUGUAGAUGUAGCCUCAUUUAUUACAGAUUCAUUUAGCACUGAUCUGGAAUAACAUAGUAUGCUCAACUGUGAACCAUGUUAUGCUUAUCAAGAAUUGAUCUGUGAUAACAUGAGUCAGUGAUCAGUCAAAGACUUGUACCACAAAAACACACCCGUGACCAACCCAAUGCUCAGCUACCCAGAAUGCACUAUCAAUUGCUUGUGUUUACAUCACUGUUCUGUAAGUUUGUGAAAUUUUAAUAUGGAUUUACAUACUCAAAUUCAUCAACAUGAGACCAGUGAGCAGAAAAAAUAUGAAGGUGCUUUAAAAACAAUGCAGAUAAGUGUAUUCUCUACAGGAAAAGGUAGGAAUAAUGGAGAAAAUAUGUGAUGGUGGAAGAUUUGCAGCUGUGGGCCACAAACUUAGUAUCAAUGAAUCUAUCAUGCAUUCCAUUUACAAAGUGUGCUUAGAUGAUUCAUUUCUCAUUGUAUUAUAUUCUUUUAACCAAGCCUCCAUGAGGAUAGAUGUACAACACUAGACAAGAUAAUAACAAAGAUUUUUAAGAAUUUCUUCAUUCCAGUUUUUCAAUGAAUGAGACUCAUUCAUUCAAAAUUAUUAAUUUCCAAAAAUAUGAUACUCAUUUCUUCCAAAAAUACCAAAUUCUAAGCUACGAUACUUGGUUAGUUCACAGGACAGCCAACAAAGAAACUUCUAGGUAGUUACUAGAACUACUAGAAAUAAUGGUCAAAUCUCUCUUUUAUACUUCUGUUGAAAUACUCUGCCUAUGUUUUGAUUAAUUUUGAAAAUAAUGGAAAGUAAAAUAAAAUAACUUCGUACUUUUUGAGCUGAGGUUUGGAAUAUAAAUAAACAUAGAAUUUCGAUGAAAGAUUUUUAACUUAGAUAACUUUAAAAGAGGAAGUUUGUCCCAUAGAACCAUGGGCAGUCUCAAACAAAUUGGUAACAAUAGAGAACUCCCUCCUAAAUUAAAAAAAGGAAAGAAAGUUUACAUAAUGUAAUCCUAGAUAUAUAAAAGGAUGGGAUGAUCAUAACUGGGAUGUCUUUCACCAUAGUUCUGCUCAAAGCUGACCCAGGGCUAAACACACAACAGCAACUGCUUUAUAGUUCAUAAAAUUCUCAUCAUUAAAAAUGAGUGAAAUUAAUAACAUUGCACUUCAACAUGAUCUAGAACCUCAUCCACUGCAAGGAGUGGUACCUUGAAAUUUGGGAACAAGCAAUAGGGUAGAGGGAAAAGAGGAAAGGAGGAACAGGUCCAUUCUUGUCUGCACCAUUUUCAUUUUCCAAAAUUUCCAAAAUGACUGAUCGUAUUCCAAUAUUAUAUGUUAUCUCCUUUGCUUGUUGUUUUUAGAUUUUAAAUACACCCCAUCCUUCACCUGUUAGGAGAGAUUUUGUCGACUAAAUUUCAUGGACAAUCAAUCUCAGUUAAUCAAAUAUUUCUUCAACCUGCUCUUUACAUAUGUGAAACCCUAAUGCAUGUGAUUUGGGAACCACUGGGUUGGACUGAUUCCAAUAUAUUUUGGAAUAUUUAAUUAUUAAAUCAACAUUUAUAAAACAAAAUAUGAACUGGCUCACAGAGAUUAUACAGAAGAAACACAUUGCAUUAACAAUCAUUUAAUAUCUCAAUGAGACAAGCAUUUAAUAGUUUUUCUUUUUAAAUAGUUCCUUUCUUUGCUUUAAUUGAUUGUCUUUUUUUUAAUACAAAAUUCAAUAGUAACCACGAGAAAUUUUGAUUUUUUUUAAAAAUCAUUUUAUCAACUUUUUUUUUUUAGUUGAAAAAUUGUAUUAUUGAAAAAUCUUGAAUAAAUCUAUUUAGAAUGUGA